AGAGGAAGUGCUCUCCCAAUCUCAUGCAAAAUAAUUGUUAAAUAAUGGUAAGGUGAAUAAUGUCAAAAAAAUACUUGUUUUUCUUUUUUCCUUAAAACCAGCACCGAAUAUGACAAGAUGCUUGCAAAACAAAUAAGUGGGGCAGUAAAAGGAGAUUCCACCCUAUGAAAUUGCUGGAAUACUGCUCACUGGAAGAUUGAUGAACACUCCUGAUCUGUGCAAAUGCUCAUUUGAAGAAGUCUACUUGUAACCUGUCUGAAAAACUGCAAAAUGGCCUGCCAGAGUCAGUUAAGGACAAUCUGUGAUUUAAGUCAAUUGGCUGGUUUAUGGAGCACCAAAUGGCAGAGAGCAGCUGUCUUGUCCUACCCCAGGGAGCUGAGAGAUCUUGGAAAAGUCCAAGGAAGUUAAAUGAAAGCACACAUCUCAGAUGACUGGAGAGAGUAUCUGGAAAUUCCAGACUCCUGGUUCAGAUGUACAAACUGGAAGGCACAAACAGAGGCAGCUGUCCCCACACAUGGCCAAAAAAUGUGUGAAUGCAUCUCGUUUUUAUGAAUGUAUGAAUGAGAAGUACACCUGUUCAAUGAAAAUGGAGAUGAUCUUUGGUUUGUGAAAGAAGGG
rnacentral:lncRNA from 1 species